AAAUCAAAUAUGUGUUCAUUUAAAUUAUUUUUGAAAAAUUUGUCAUUGUGUAAUUAAUAUACUUAAAAUUACUAACAUGAAAAAUUAGCAAACAAUACUAUUUUUUUAAAAUUCAAGAAAUUCAUUGUUCCAAGGAUCAACUUACUUCGCACUUCCCUUUACUAUAAUGGCUUUCAAAAAAUUCAAUACUCGCUACACUCUUAAGACUAGUUCAGACUAUUCCAGUAAUUUAGUCGAGUGAUAAAACAAAACGCCCUUCUACAAAGAAUAAGAAAAUAAAGUAGAUGCACGAUAUGUGUUGCAGUAGAUUAUUCAGUCGCUACCGUGAUAAUGUUCAACUGUUUGCUGUUGGUUCCCGAAUGGGUGACCAUAAGGAAACUUUAACAGUGAGACACAUCUUUCCCAUACUGCGUCUCUCAGCUAUAAUCAAUUCGAUGCAUCUAGUCGAUAGCUGGUAAUGAUAUGAAUGACAAAGAAGAACCUUUGUAUCUUAUCAACAUUUUAUUAUUAAUUUUUUUUUUCCAUAAAAUUUGAAUUGAGUAAAU